rnacentral:rRNA from 1 species
GGAAGCUAUUCUCUAAGAUUAAGCCAUGCAUGUGURAAUUAAGUGAAGCCGUGAGGUGGAACAGCGAAAAGCUCAGUAAUACAAUCAUUAUUUGGUCUACAAGAGUGAGGAUAACCUUGAUAAAUUAAGGCUAAAACUAAGUAGAAUAAGAGAUUGACCUAUCAGCUAGUAUGUAGGGUAAGGGCCUACGUAGGCUAUGACGGGUAACGGGGAAUUAGGGUUCUAUUCCGGAGAAGGAGGCUGAGAGAUGGCUACUAGGUCUAAGGAGAGCAGCAGGCGCGAAACUUACCCAAUGCUAUUAGUAGUGAGGUAGUUAUGAGAAGUAGUGGAUUAAAUUUCACUGAUUUUCCCGCUAAACAAGGGAAAUUAUAAUUGGAGGGCAAGUCUGGUGCCAGCAGCCGCGGUAAUUCCAGCUCCAAGAGUAUCCAUGAGUAUUGCUGCAAUUAAAAAGUUCGUAGUUGAUUAAGUAGAAUAUCUUGAGAUAAGAAUGAGGUCUACAUAAGCGAAAGCCAUGGAGGGAAAUAGGAUUAAAUAGGGAGGGGUGAAAUCUGCAGAUCUAUUUAGGACUAACAGAAGCGAAAGCGAUUUUCCAUGUGGUAUUUGACAAUCAAGAACGAAAGCCGGAGUAUCGAAGACGAUUAGAGACCGUCGUAGUUCCGUGCAGUAAACWAUGUUAUAUUAUUUGUGUUAURAUGAGAAGUUAUAGCAUGGAUAUAUAGAAAUUAAGAUAUUAUGAACUUUGGGGAUAGUACGAACGCAAGUUUUAAACUUAAAUGAAAUUGACGGAAGGACACACCAGGAGUGGAGUGUGCGGUUUAAUUUGACUCAACGCGGGACAACUUACCAUUUUUAGAAGCGAUUAUGAGUGAUAAAUCACGAUUUCGCCUUGAGUGGUGCAUGGCCGUUAACAAUGCGUGAUGUGAAUUUUGAGAUUAUAGAUAGCCAAUAAGGCUAUAAAAAGUUAAAUCCACCAAUGUGUGAGACCCAUGUACUAAUUAUAAGGUUAGUAGACAGAUGAUGUAAAUCAUAGGAAGGAGUGGGCGAUAACAGGUCAGUGAUGCCCUUAAAUGAAAUGGGCGACACGCGCACUACAAUAGGAGRUUAUUAUCACCUAAGGAGUUGGGAUUACUUUAGUGUAAGCGAAGUAUGAACAAGGAAUUCCUAGUAAUAUGUAUGUUAACAACGACAUAUGAAUGCGUCCCUGUCCUUUGUACACACCGCCCGUCGUUAUCUCAGAUGGAUAUUAGGGUGAAAUAUUAUAAUAAUAGAGAACUCUAAUAACUAAAUAAGGUACAAGUCGUAACAAGGUUGAC